GAUCCGAGCCGAGCGGGCCGUAUCUCCUUGUCGGCGCCGCUGAUUCCCGGCUCUGCGGAGGCCUCUAGGCAGCCGCGCAGCUUCCGUGUUUGCUGCGCCCGCACUGCGACUUUUCCCAGGUCCCUCGUAUCAAAACAUUAAGAGUAUAAUGGAAGAUAGCACGAUCUUGUCAGAUUGGACAAACAGCAACAAACAAAAAAUGAAGUAUGACUUUUCCUGUGAACUCUACAGAAUGUCUACAUAUUCAACUUUCCCCGCCGGGGUGCCUGUCUCAGAAAGGAGUCUUGCUCGUGCUGGUUUUUAUUAUACUGGUGUGAAUGACAAGGUCAAAUGCUUCUGUUGUGGCCUGAUGCUGGAUAACUGGAAACUAGGAGACAGUCCUAUUCAAAAGCAUAAACAGCUAUAUCCUAGCUGUAGCUUUAUUCAGAAUCUGGUUUCAGCUAGUCUGGGAUCCACCUCUAAGAAUACGUCUCCAAUGAGAAACAGUUUUGCACAUUCAUUAUCUCCCACCUUGGAACAUAGUAGCUUGUUCAGUGGUUCUUACUCCAGCCUUUCUCCAAACCCUCUUAAUUCUAGAGCAGUUGAAGACAUCUCU
rnacentral:lncRNA from 1 species